UGGCACAGUGGUUAAGUGCUACAUCUGCUAAUUGUAAAGGUCGGCAGUUCGAAUCUGCC
rnacentral:tRNA from 1 species